AGUAAAAUCAGCUAAUUAAGCUUUUGGGCCCAUACCCCAACCAUGUUGGUUAAAAUCCUUCCUUUACUA
rnacentral:tRNA from 3 species